AAUCCUUGCUAUCUGGGUGCUAGUGCUAUCUCAAUGCAAUGCACCUAGGCAAGGAUUCA
rnacentral:ncRNA from 2 species